CUUCGGCCUGCCGGCGAGUGGCGAACGGGUGAGUAAUGCAUCGGAACGUGCCCAUGUCGUGGGGGAUAACGUAUCGAAAGGUACGCUAAUACCGCAUACGUCCUGAGGGAGAAAGCGGGGGAUCGCAAGACCUCGCGCGAUUGGAGCGGCCGAUGUCGGAUUAGCUAGUAGGUGAGGUAAAGGCUCACCUAGGCGACGAUCCGUAGCGGGUCUGAGAGGAUGAUCCGCCACACUGGGACUGAGACACGGCCCAGACUCCUACGGGAGGCAGCAGUGGGGAAUUUUGGACAAUGGGGGCAACCCUGAUCCAGCCAUGCCGCGUGAGUGAAGAAGGCCUUCGGGUUGUAAAGCUCUUUCGGCCGGGAAGAAAUCGUGUUCUCUAACAUAGGACAUGGAUGACGGUACCGGACUAAGAAGCACCGGCUAACUACGUGCCAGCA
rnacentral:rRNA from 1 species